GGGGGAAAAUUAAUAAAAUAUAAAUAAUAAAAAAAUUUUUAAUAUUGGGGGAUAUUAAAGUAUUUUUUUAAAAAAAAAUAAAUUAUUUUAUAGUUAAAUAGUAUUGGAAAAGAAAUUUGAAAUAAUUGAAAAUAAAUUAAUAAAAAAGUAAUUUUUAUUUAAUGUAUCUUGUGUAUCAGAGUUUAUUAAAAAAUAUUUUUUUUAAGAAAAGAUCUCGAAUUUAAAAGAGUUAAUUAAUUAUAAAAGUUAAUGUUGAAAAAUUAUUUUAAAUAAUUAAUUUGAAAUGAAAUGUUAAUCGUUUUUAAAUAUAUCUAGUUAUUUUAGAAAAAAAUUUAAUUUAAAAUUUAAAAAAUUUUAUUUUUAAUUAUAAUUAAAAAUAAAAUUUUAAAAUUAAAUAUAUUAAGGGAUAAGCUUUAAUAUAAAAAUUUAUAGUAAGAUAAAAUUUAAAUAAAAAUUUUAAAAUUUAUAUUGUUUAAAAAUUAUAAUUUAUUAUAAAAAAAUUUUAUUUUUAAUAAAAUUUAAUUAAAAAUUUAAUUUUAUAUAAAAUAAUAAUACAAAUAAAAAAAAAUUAGAAAUAAUGAUAAAAUUAGUAUAUUAUAAUAAAUAUAAUUUAAUUAAUUAAAAUUAAAUUUAAGGAAUUUGGCAAAAUUUUAUAUUCACUUGUUUAUCAAAAACAUGUCUUUUAGGUAAUAAUUUAAAGUCUAAUCUGCCCACUGAUAUUAUAUAUUAAAGGGCUGCAGUAUAUUGACUGUACAAAGGUAGCAUAAUCAAUAGUCUUUUAAUUGAAGACUUGUAUGAAAGAUUUGAUGAAAUAUAAACUGUCUCUAAUUUAAAUAUAAAAUUUAAUUUUUUAGUUAAAAAGCUAAAAUAAAUUUAAAAGACGAGAAGACCCUAUAGAGUUUUAUAUUAAAAUUACUUAAGAUUAUAUAUAUAAUUAAAAAUUAAAAGUAAAAUUAAUAUUUUGUUGGGGUGAUAAAAAAAUUAAUAUAACUUUUUUUAAAUAAAAACAUAAAUAAAUGAUUAAUUGAUCCAUUUAUUAUGAUUAAAAGAAAAAAUUACCUUAGGGAUAACAGCGUAAUAUUUUUUUUUAGUACGAAUAAAAAAAAAAGUUUGCGACCUCGAUGUUGGAUUAAGAUAAAAUUUAAAUGCAAAAGUUUAAAAUUUUGAUCUGUUCGAUCAUUAAAAUCUUACAUGAUCUGAGUUCAAACCGGUGUGAGCCAGGUUGGUUUCUAUCUUUAAAAUAAUAGUAAAUAUUUUAGUACGAAAGGAUCAAAUAUUUUUAAUAAUUAAAAUUUAAUGAAUAUUAAUAAUUAAUAAUUAA
rnacentral:rRNA from 1 species